rnacentral:rRNA from 1 species
AACGAACGCUGGCGGCAUGCCUAACACAUGCAAGUCGAACGAUUGCCUUCGGGUGAUAGUGGCGCACGGGUGCGUAACGCGUGGGAAUCUGCCCUUAGGUUCGGAAUAACAGCUGGAAACGGCUGCUAAUACCGGAUGAUAUCGCGAGAUCAAAGAUUUAUCGCCUGAGGAUGAGCCCGCGUUGGAUUAGGUAGUUGGUGGGGUAAAGGCCUACCAAGCCGACGAUCCAUAGCUGGUCUGAGAGGAUGAUCAGCCACACUGGGACUGAGACACGGCCCAGACUCCUACGGGAGGCAGCAGUGGGGAAUAUUGGACAAUGGGCGCAAACCUGAUCCAGCAAUGCCGCGUGAGUGAUGAAGGCCCUAGGGUUGUAAAGCUCUUUUACCCGGGAAGAUAAUGACUGUACCGGGAGAAUAAGCCCCGGCUAACUCCGUG